rnacentral:rRNA from 1 species
GAUGAACGCUGGCGGCGUGCCUAAUACAUGCAAGUCGAGCGAACGGACGAGAAGCUUGCUUCUCUGAUGUUAGCGGCGGACGGGUGAGUAACACGUGGAUAACCUACCUAUAAGACUGGGAUAACUUCGGGAAACCGGAGCUAAUACCGGAUAAUAUUUUGAACCGCAUGGUUCAAAAGUGAAAGACGGUCUUGCUGUCACUUAUAGAUGGAUCCGCGCUGCAUUAGCUAGUUGGUAAGGUAACGGCUUACCAAGGCAACGAUGCAUAGCCGACCUGAGAGGGUGUCCGCCCCCCCGGAACCGGGACAACGGUCCAGCUCCUUAGGGAGGGCGCCGUAGGGGAACCUGCGGAAAUGGGCGAAGCCUUGAGGGGGCAACGCGGGGGGGUUAAUGAGGGUCUCCGAUUGGAAAACCUUGGUUAUAGGGAAAAAACAAAUGUGUAGUUACCGUUGACCAUCUGAACGUUACCAAAUCAGAAGGCAACGCUAACCUCCGU